GACGAACGCUGGCGGCGUGCUUAACACAUGCAAGUCGAACGGAAAGGCCCCUUCGGGGGUCCUCGAGUGGCGAACAGGUGAGUAACACGUGAGUAACCUGCCCUUGACUUCGGGAUAACUUCAGGAAACUGGGGCUAAUACCGGAUAGGAAUCCUUGCUGCAUGGUGGGGGUUGGAAAGCUUCGGCGGUUUUGGAUGGACUCGCGGCGUAUCAGCUUGUUGGUGGGGUAGUGGCUUACCAAGGCUUUGACGGGUAGCCGGCCUGAGAGGGCGACCGGCCACAUUGGGACUGAGAUACGGCCCAGACUCCUACGGGAGGCAGCAGUGGGGAAGAUUGCACAAGGGGCGGAAGCCUGAUGCAGCAACGCCGCGUGCGGGAUGACGGCCUUCGGGUUGUAAACCGCUUUCAGCAGGGGCGAAGCUUGUGGUGACGGUACCUGCAGAAGAAGCACCGGCUAACUACGUG
rnacentral:rRNA from 1 species